CGUCUGGGGCUCACAUUCUGGGGAGUUACUCAAGUAUGAAUGUUUGACAAAUUCGUGAUUAUCCACUUCUUAAUAAAAGACAAAAAUCACUUGGUAGUUUCAGUUUUUGUACAAAACAGUUCACACUAAAUAAUGGGAAAACUGCUCUUUUGAUUUUGAAAUUUAACCUCAUUUAUUACUCCUGUGAAUAGUAACUCAAGCUACCAGAGCUCCUUCUCCAGCAUGAGUUAACAGAUGGAUGCUGUGUAUUACUACAUUAAUUACCCGGAUGCUUCUGGGUCAGUUUGUCAUCUUAAGGAGACUACACAGGUCUCUGUGAUCUCGACUCUUACACAGUGCAUAGAAGUCAGUACAGCUCUUAGAAGUGAAUUAAUCAUGGGUUCUGAGUUAUAGUUUUCUGAAUCCCAAAUAAAAUCCCCCUUCUUUAAAGCAAAAUUUCAAAAAUAAAAUCUGAAUGUGACCUGGAGGUUUAUAAUGGAAUGUAGUCUAUUAACUCUGCAUACUCUUCCCGAUUUGUAAUGUUUAACCAGAGGUGUACUUUAGUAUCACCUAAGGAGCUUUUUCAAAAUACACACAUCUGAACUCUUUUCCUAAAGAAUCUAACUCAGUAGAUCUGAGGAGGGAGGCCAUGCAGGUCUGUUAGAAGAGUUUCCCAGGUAAUUCUGAGGUGUCCCCGGGUCAAGAUCUGUUUUACAAGAUUGGCCACAUGCUGGUAGCUGUUGGUCGUGCUCACCAAGUGUGCUGUUGUGUCUGUAGGUGAAGUCUCAGGAACGGGGUUGCUUUAUCAAUGGUUGAUGUACAUUUUAAUAGAUGUCGCCACAUUACUUUCCAAAAACUCAACAACAACGCGCGUCUCCACCAGCCAGUACUGCUCUUUGAUAUAAGCAAGAGGGGCUCCUGCCCUGGGCCCUGCGCUUUAGGGGAACCUCAUGUCACAAACACACAAAACAGUUGGUUUACUGCAGAUACACAGCACCUCUAUCGCUCAGCAGUGGCACAGCGUCACCCUCGUCAUCCGCUCUGUGACUAAUAUCAUUCAGCCCCCAGGGAAGUGCUUCUCUGCAUUUCUUCCUCUGUGUCUUGGAAGUAAAGGCCACCUGAGUCUACAGGCGUGUGGAUUAUGCUACUGCUGACGUCAAAAAUGGACACUGCUGUGGAGUGUGGGGAAGCGUUGAACAGCAGAACGCCUUAGAUGAUUGAAAAUGAGUACAAGUCAAGAUUUUGAUAGAAGAAUACUAAAGUGGAAUUCACAAAAGAAAAAAAAAAGCUAAACGGAAAAAAGAAGUAAAAAAUCUUCAAAGAAACAGUCUGCUUUAAAAGUAAGCAGUCUUCUCCCAGGAUGACCCACAUAAAAUUCAGAACAUUAUAAAUUCCUGGUUCCAUGAAGAUUGAAUUACUUAUCAGAACAAUGAAAAUUAGUAGGAAUAUUAUUCUCACCAAAUCCACAGCUUGAACAAUUCAGAUGAAGUCCCUACAACUUCACGUUCUUUACUAAAGGAAGAUUUAAUUGCUAAUCACAAAGAAUCGUUUACCAAAAAAGGACGCAUGCAGGUAUUAGAAUUGGGUGGAAACGGCUGAAUAAACAGUAGACAGUUGAUCACCGGAGAAGAUAAAAGAAAAUAUUGAUGUAAUGUUCAUGAAGGAAUAAUAGUAUUUGGCCAAGCAUAAUGGUGCUUUCAAUGGUACUGUCAACACAAUGUUUACAGAAAACAAUGGGAAAUUUCUAGGUUUGUGAAAAUUAGUUCAAAAUUUGAUAAAAUGCCAAACAUGUAGUUAGGGGAAAACAAAAACGAAUGAUUACUAUCUAGGAUAGAGAAUUCAAAUAGGUUAAUUUAAUGUGUAGUAAAGCAAGAGCUGAAAUCAUAUCUAAAAUUUUUAACAAUUCCGUGGUUAACAAUGUGCCAUGGUCAGAAGACAUGUUGAAAAGCUGGCAUUUAAAAGGCAGGCCUGUGAUAAUGGAGCUAACGUGGAGGGUAUGUAAAAGCUGUGGGAACACAAAGUCUGGCGAAGAAUCCAAAAGCAUUCUACGUGACAUGCAGAGCCCAGUGGAUCCAUCUCUAGGAGACAUGCCCUCCGCUGUCCAUCACGGAUGCUGUGGGACAGAGGCGGGUCCUCUGCAAGACUCUCCAGGUGUGCCCGAGGUGGAGCGGCUUCACUAGACUCACAUCCAACCUCAUAACAGACCUCGGACGCGUGGUGGGAAUACCGCUAAAUGCUCUUAAGGUGAUUAGGUUGAAUUUAGAUAUCAAGAGUCCAGCACAACCACAGGAGCUCCUCAAAGAGCAAAUCACAGACUUUGACAGAAGGUGAAAUUAAUUUUGAAUUUGCGCUUAGUAUGAACUGUUCCUUUCUAUUGACAAGCUUAAAAGCUUUUUUAAAAAAAAAAUCCAAGUUUGGCUAUUUCACUUUUUAAAGAAUUUUUAAAAUUUUUUUGAAGUAUAGAGAAAUAAAACCAAAAGUACGUGUGAAAUAUGCAAGAAAAAUAACAUCCUCAUAAAAUGUAAAGAAAUUGAAACAAGGAAACAAAUAUUUGCCUAACUUGAAGGAAAAGAUCCAUGCACAAAUGAUCCUGAAACCAGUUUCUAUAGAGGCAGUUGUUCUGUUCAUGAUAAAUCAAAAUGUAAGUAUCAUUUGGAGAAAGAUUUGAACAAACUCGAGCAACACACUCCUAUUUUCAGUUUUCUUUAUAAUAUACCAUCGUUGAAAUUUGAAAGAAGAUUUUUAGAUAUUCUGCAUGGUCCUGACACUGGUUAAGAGAUGACAAAAAUGCCUAUAACUGAUUGUGAUUUAAAUGAUCAAAUUAAAAUAUUUAGUAACACCUUCUGUGAUAAUAAUUUAUCGUACGUAACCCCACACAGCAUUUGAGUGCAGUAAUGAAAAAAUCGGGGUUCAUUUCCAAAUCUCAGCAUGAAGAGUUUUAUAUAUAAUUCCCGUUGCUACUGCCUUAGCAGAGUGAAGCUUCUCCAAGUUAAAAUUGAUUAAAAGCUUGUUAAGAACUAUUCGGACUGAAGAAAGGUCAUUAUUUGGCACUUUGUCAAUAGAAAGCAUGUUGAUCAUAGAACGUGAUCAGUUCUUCCUGAAAUGAAGGGAGGAAAAUUAAUUUUAUGGAAUAAACACAUGAUCAUUUAUGAGUUG